CAGUUCACUGGUCACGAUGGCUACACCCACCCGUAGCACGCGCUCCAGCAGGUGUAUCUCACUGAUCAUUCCUAAAGCCAAAACCUCAUUUGGACGCCUUUCCUUCCAGUUCUCUGCUGCCUGCGACUGGAACGAAUUGCAAAAAUCUCUGAAGUUGGAGACUUUUAUCUCCCUCAACAACUUUAAAAAUCUGCUAUCCGAGCAGCUAACCGAUCGCUGCAGCUGUACAUAGUCCAUCUGUAAACUACCCACCCAAUUUACCUACCUCACCCCCAUACUGCUUUUAUUUAUUUAUUUUUCUGCUCUUUUGCACACCAGUAUCUCUUCUUGCACAUGAUCAUCUGAUUUAUCACUCCAGUGUUAAUCUGCUAAAUUGUAAUUAUUCGAUUUAUUGCCUACCUCAUGCCUUUUGCACACAUUGUAUAUAGAUUCUCUUUUUCCUACCAUGUUAUUGACUUGUUUAUUGUUUACUCCAUGUGUAACUCUGUGUUGUCUGUUCACACUGCUAUGCUUUAUCUUGGCCAGGUCGCAGUUGCAAAUGAGAACUUGUUCUCAACUAGCCUACCUGGUUAAAUAAAGGUGAAAUAAAAAUAAAAAAUAAAAAACUAAGGGUUAAACCACGGUCAAUUGAUCAAUAUUCAGGUCGCCUGUAGUCUGACCAUUCUGGAUCAUUUAGAAUUUGAAGAACCAUUUAGAGGGACGUUUCAACACAUGAGAAUGCAUUCAUGUCAAUGUAAUUGAAUAUACAUGUUGGACAUCCGUCAUUUACCUAGCUAUAAAAGUCUUUGCAGUAGACAAAGUAAUAUUGUUGAUGAGAAAUGCUAUGGCAUUGCUAGUAUGACCCUCCCUUGACAAAUGAAAUGCACUUUUUUUCAAAUAGGCAGCCCAAUUUCUGUUUUUAAAUAAAUGUACUAAAUCAGAUUUUUCCAGGUCUGAUGGGCCAAAAGAUCAGAAAUUAAAACCAACAAACUACUGUCGUGACCUUGAAUUAUCUGAGGACUGUUUAAUUGUUACACGACUCUAAAUGAAUCGUGUUAGGAUUUGGGGUGCCGAGGAAACGGUUUUAAAGAUGCCGUCUCCCGACUUAAACUCUAGACGGUAGAAAUCUAUUACAUUGCUAAAGUCAACUUAUUAACCAUUACAUCGUAUCCUCCUCGCAGCUGCAAGAACCCCAGCCUUAUGAUUCAGUACUACACAAAUUGGUUUAAUUUAUUUACUAGCUAAACACACAGGUCCCUAGCGGACUGACACAAUAUGACGGCUUGUUACGAUGUCUCCCCCACCCAUGGUUCCAUAAGGGACACUUAUCGUUGUUACAUUUUUGCAUGAAUGUAUUUAUGUGGGAUGCCGCCGUGGUUGGGUCUUCUCUCUGAUUGGCUCCCUGAGGUCACAAUGUCAAUAGUUGUCCGUGGCUCCAAUGACUAGUCUUGAACGGAACUUCAGGAUGGAUUUUCCUUUCACUCAUUCUGGAAGAUGGGCUAAUCAACCCUGUCGCUGAUUCCUCAGUGGGUGAUGAGAGUAGGAUGGUUUGGAUAUAGUAGCAGAAUGGUCCCACUGAAGUUAGCUUUUCUAGGUACUUGGCUCAAACAGCUAAUCGGCUGUACCAGUGACUGUCUGCCUGAGGGGUGUUUAUUCUCCCUCGUGUUGGUAUUCAGGUUUCGGACCACUUUGGACAUGAGCUGCAGCUCGCCGUCCUUAGGAAGGUGCGUUUAGGGAAGUUUCAAAUGUGUAGCUUGCGACUGACGGUUUUCUGGUCUAAUGUUAAUUUCAGUUGCCAAUCCUUUUAUGCACUCUGGCCGCCGGGGACAGUUCUGUCAGUCUGACCCGCUCUCUGAUGUCACUUGUGGCAUGGCUACUUACUAUGCACAUUUUCUAGGAGUUUCUCUAAUACGUUCAAAAGUGAAUACUGGAACAAUAUUUCUAACAUAAGACUGGUCAGAGAUAGAAAAAGAAUGUCAUGUUUUUUUAAAAAGGAAAUACUGGAACUAGAAAAGUGCUCACACUACAGGUAGGAAGUCUCGAGUCUUUACAUUGUAUAUGAAAUACGUUGGGUGUUUUUCAAGACCGAGGUGAAUUUAGGAGGGGUAAGAGUUUUGGUGGGAAAAGCCUGUUAACAAAGACAUUCCUUUAGUUCAUACUGGAGGGGGAGAAGGAACCCACUUCUCCUGUCAUUUACAACACGGUGUAAAUUGAUCUGAUCCUCACAGGACAGUCAUGACACCACCAUAAGACUUCGUACACAAGGCGGUUGGGGUUUAGUGUUCUUGUUCCUAACUUAGUCCCUCUCUCUACACUGGCAGUUGUGAGAACCCGGAGGAUCCGUACCGUGUAGUCUUCCACCCGGUGGUAGCUGACGCCAGGGUCCACUUCCCCCCCUCACGUCAAACGCUUUGAGGUCUAUAUGUUUUCCUUCGUCGAGGAUGCGGUUGAGCCGAGUGGCCAGGUCUUCGUCCAUUGUGAUGUGGUCAUCUGUGACGCCAGUAGUCCCUCUGGCGGCCCCUGUAGUGGACAAUGUGUGAAUCAGGACAACUUGAAAAGAGAUAGGUCUUGUUUUAUGCUUUCCAGACCCUGUCAGACCAUAACUGAACUAAUAGGUUCUCUCUCUCUCAACAGGUCAACGACAUGUCAAAGACCUCUUUGAGGAGCCUCAUUUCUAUGUUUCUUCUGGAUACAUUCUUUGGGUGUAAUGUCUUGUUCUAACAUGUCAAAUAAAGUGUUCUAUAUAACAA